CCUACGAGAGGCAGCAGUGAGGAAUAUUGGUCAAUGGACGAGAGUCUGAACCAGCCAAGUAGCGUGAAGGAUGACGGCCCUAUGGGUUGUAAACUUCUUUUAUAAAGGAAUAAAACGCGGAAAGUGUGCAUUUUUACAUGUACUUUAUGAAUAAGGAUCGGCUAACUCCGUGCCAACAGCCGAGGUAAUACGGCGUAUCCGCGCGUUAUCCGGAUUGAUUGGGGUUAAAAGGAGCGUAGAUGGGUUGUUAAGUCAGUGGUGAAAGUUUGCGGCUCAACCGUAAAAGUGCAAUUGAUACGGGCAGUCUUGAGUACAGUUGAGGUAGGCGGAAUUCGUGGUGUAGCGGUGAAAUGCUUAGAUAUCACGAAGAACCCCGAUUGCGAAGGCAGCUUACUAAACUGUGACUGACAUUGAUGCUCGAAAGUGUGGGUAUCAAACAGGAUUAGAUACCCCUGUAGUC
rnacentral:rRNA from 1 species